GACGAACGCUGGCGGCGUGCUUAACACAUGCAAGUCGAACGGUAAGGCCCUUCGGGGUACACGAGUGGCGAACGGGUGAGUAACACGGGGGUGAUCUGCCCUGCACUUCGGGAUAAGCCUGGGAAACUGGGUCUAAUACCGGAUAGGACCACUGCCUGCAUGGGCGGUGGGGGAAAGCUUUUGCGGUGUGGGAUGGGCCCGCGGCCUAUCAGCUUGUUGGUGGGGUGAUGGCCUACCAAGGCGACGACGGGUAGCCGGCCUGGGAGGGUGACCGGCCACACUGGGACUGAGAUACGGCCCAGACUCCUACGGGAGGCAGCAGUGGGGAAUAUUGCACAAUGGGCGCAAGCCUGAUGCAGCGACGCCGCGUGAGGGAUGACGGCCUUCGGGUUGUAAACCUCUUUCAGCACCGACGAAGCGCAAGUGACGGUAGGUGCAGAAGAAGGACCGGCCAACUACGUGCCAGCCGCCGCAGUAA
rnacentral:rRNA from 1 species